GUACAAAAUGAGGGCGACUCGCCUGAAACUUUUCAUAUUUCUUCUUCCUAUUCGCAUCAACUUUUCCAAUGUGGUUCCUCCGAACCACUGGUUUUCCUGACAUUAACAGGAUCUUAAUCGUUUUUCCAAGAAUAAAUUAGAUUGAUUUCGAGAAAUUGGUGAUAGCGGGAAGAAGACGAUGAUAUUGGAGGGCAAGCUUCAUGGCCGUUCUCCUUCUCAUGCUCUCCAUUUUUUUCUUCAGUUAUCUAUUCUACAAACCCACAUUAUUCCUACUCAUAAUUUCCAUCCGAUGAUCAAUUGCACCUUCACUGUUCAUCUCAUCCCACCUAGCCUGCUGCUUCUCUUCUUGAUCGAACGCUUCACUUGUCUCAGUAGCUUCUCCUCUUCCGUCUUUGUUUCUUGAAACCCAAACCUCUCACCCCCAAUAUCAACUCCUCUGAAGCGAACACUUGAAAUAUUCUUUCGUCUGAUCUCAGCAAAUCAAACGUCCGGAAUCUCGAAACAAAGCAGAGAAAUCAAGAAUGAUGUUCUUCGUGGUUUUCCCAUAUAUUAGUGUAUUCAUCGGCAUCUCUGCGUUCACCCUAAUCGACACCUUUCUCCUGCUCAUGCGCAGGCGAUGGCCACAGUCGACAGAAGGACCUGUCAUCACAUGAUAUGGGAAAGAAAGAGAAGAAGUUUUGUUUAUAUUCAGUUCUGGUGAUGGAACUACUCAUGGAAGAACACACAAUUCUCAGGGAGUAUCAUCAUUGCUCUCACACACAAAGAACAAAAGCUUUUCUGUAUAUGAUUGAAUAAUGAUUCGGUCAAAAGUAGCAAAAUAAACAAGAAAACAGCUGGUGGAUGAAAUAGUUGGAGAAACUUAUGAGAAGUGCAAGGUGCUUCCAAUGGCAAGGGUAUUAUAUAUAUAUAUAUAUAUAUAUAUAUAUAUAUAUAUAUAUAUAUAUAUAUGUUGUCCAGAAGAGUGUUUCAAGAAACAAUGGCACUUGUUUUAAAGAUAAGAAACUCUCAAUACCAUGGUUUGAAUAAUGCAAGUGGAUCCCUUGAACAUGCCUUCAUUGAGAAGCUUCUGUUAUGGGUGUUUUAUGAAUGUCCAAAAGGGGCAACAACAUAAUCUUUUAUCUCUCUUGUUGAAACACUGAAGAUGAGUGAUGCAAGAGUAGUAUUCUCUGCUCUUCACAAUGUCAUUCAGAUUUUAUCCAAUUGCUAAAAUCCACCUGAGUCACUUGUUGCUGGUUUAACUGGUAACUUUUUGGUGACAUGGUGUCUAGUUGGUAUGCAUUUGAUGACGUGUCAAAUACAUGCCAUGCCAUGUAACCUCACCAAAACUUACCGGUUGGUUGGUUAAACUGGGAAUAGAAUGUCACCAAAACUCUAUGAUUCUUUGAUGGAACAGUGGAAUUGGACAGAGGGUUUCUUUUUGCCAGUUUGAUUCAACCAUUUGUUUCCCAAUUUCACAUUUACUUGAGGAUGUUGCCACCUGAAACCAUUGUGGGCCCCUUUAAACCUAACCUCAUUUGGAAACCAACAUCUCCAAAGGAGCUGUCAUCACAUGUUAUGGGAAAGACAGAAGAAAAUUUCUUUUACCAAAUAAUAUUCAUAUUUAGUCCAAGGUAUGUCAUCUCCUACUGCUGUUAUUCUUUUUCAAUUUCAAAUUUUUCAUUGACAUUAUAAGAUACAAUUGUGUGAUACUCCAGAAAUAGGAAAGUACUUUCAUUUCAUAAUUCAUACUCCAGGUAUGUUCCACCACUAAACCACUCUAUAUUUUGCUGUGUGUCAUAAAUUCAGUCAUGUCCUGCUUCUCUUUGUCUUUUACAAUUAGCAUUGUGCUUUAAUUUUACUUUGAAAAAACUUCCCAUUAACUCAUUGUGCAUUCAAAAACAUCCAUUUUGCAUUGAGUUUUCAUAAAUCCUCCUAUUUUUAGCAUCCUACUUUCACUUUUCUUUAUCUAACAUCAAUGAAACAUCAGACUUCUCUUUUUCUCAUCUAUGCAUUUUACUUUGAAACAACUUCCCUUUAAAGCAUUCUACUUUCAAUAAAAAUCAUCCAUUUUGCAUUGAAUUUUCAAAAAUCAUCCCAUUUUUAUUUAGUGUUCUACUUUUACUUUUCUUUCUAUAACACCACUGAAACAUCAAACUUUACUUUUCUCAUCUAUGCAUUUUACUUUUUAAAAAAUUUCCAAUUAAAGCAUUCUGUUGUCCACCAAAUUCUACUUUCAAAAUCAUCCCUUUUUUUAGCAUUGUACUUUAACUUUUCUUUUUGUAACAUCAUUAAAACAUCAAAUUCUCUUUUCUCAUCUAUGCAUUUUACUUUCAAAAAAUUCCAAAUAAAGCAUUUUACUUUCAAAAAUUUCUAUUUUACAUUGAAUUUAAAAAAAUCAUCACAUUUUUAACAUUGUACUUUACCUUUUUCUUUGUGUAACAUCAUUGAAACAUCACUCUUAUUUUUUUUUUCUCAUCUAUGCAUUUACAUUGAAAAAACUUGCAAUUCAAGCAUUCUUUUUUUAAAAACUUCCAUUUUACAUUGAAUUUUCAAAAACCAUUCUAUUUUUAGCAUUGUAGUUUAACUUUUCUUUCUGUAACAUAAUUAAAACAUCAAACUUCUUUUUUCUCAUCUAUGUGUUUUCCUUUGAAAAAAAUUAGACAUAAAGCAUUCUACUUUCAAAAGCUUCCCAUUUUACAUUCAACUUUCAAAAAUCAUCCCAUUUUAGGAUUGUACUUUAACUUUCUUUUCUAUAACAUCAUUGAAACAUCAAACCUUUUUUUUUCUCAUCUAUGUAUUUUACUUUGAAAAAUCUUACAGUUAAAACAUUCUACUUUCAAAAACUUUCCAUUUUACAUUGAGUUUUUUAAAAUAAUCACAUUUUUAGCAUUGUACUUUUUCUUAAUGUAACAUCAUCGAAACAUCAAACUUCUCAUUUCUCAUCUAUGCAUUUUACUUUGAAAAAAGUUUCAAUCAAAGCAUUAUAUUUUCAAAAUUUUCCAUUUUACAUUCAAUUUUCUAAAAUCACCCAUUUUUAGCAUUGUACUUUAGCUUUUUCUCAUCUAUGCAUAUACGUUGAAAAAAACUUAUAAUUAAAGCAUUGUACUUUCAAAAAUUUCCAUUUCACAUUCAUUUUUCAUGAAUCAUCCAAUUUUUAUCAUUUUACUUUAACUUUUCCUUAUGUAACAUCUUUGAAACAACAAACUUCUCAUUUCUCAUCUAUGCAUUUUAAUUUGGAAAAACUUACAAUCAAAGUAUUUUAUUUUCAAAAACAUUCAUUUGACACCCGAUUUUCAAAAAUAUCUCGUUUUAAGCAUUGUACCUAAACUUUUUCUCAUGUAUGCAUUUUACUUUGAAAAAACAUUACAAUUAAAGCAAUCUACUAUAAAAAACUUUCAUUUAACAUUCAAUUCUCAAAAAUUAUCCAUUUUUAUCAUUAUAUUUUAACUCUUUCUUUAUGUAACAUCUUUGAAACAUGAAAUUUCUCAUUUCUCAUCUAUGCAAAGCAGAGAAAUGAGAAAUUUCAUCCCCUUUUUGAGAAUUGAACGUCCAGAAUCUUGAAGCAAAGCAGAGAAAUAACGAGUGAUUUUCAUCCCUUUUUUUCUUCGACAUGUCUGCUUUCACCCAAAUCGACGCCUCUCACAGGCGAUGGUCAUAGUAGACGUAGGGUUAGUCUGAGUCCACUAUUUGUUUCCCAGUUUCACAAUCUUGAUGUAUUUUUGAACCUUGUUGGUUUUAUUUUGUUAUGUGGGAAUGCAACAGGUUCUUCUAAGUUCCGAGCUCAUACAGAUAGGUUCUGAAGAGCGUUUAUUGCUAAUUACAGAGGUAUAUUUUGUUUUUUUUCAUCUUCUUGACUUAGGUGGGAUAUAUGAUAUCAACCACCUAAUCCUUGGACUAUGGGGAUUCUUGGAUUAGUUGCUGAAAUUCAUGCAAUGCCAAAUCUCAGUUCUUAUGUUUUCAAUUGAAGUAUGUUUGAAUCUAUGUAUGUGUAGCACAUGUACUAUUGUGAUUUUGUACAUAUUCCCAUGUUGGUUUUCCCUUUUAGAUAUUGUUCAAGAAUCUUGAUUUGGACAUGAAGGACAGGGUUAGGAAAAUUGAAGGAAACCCUGAUUUCUGUUGCUUCAUCUCAACAAAAUACUGUAAAUCAAGGAUGCUUCCAAUGGUAAUGGAUAAGGCAAGGGUAUUAAAGAUAUAUAUAUAUAUAUAUAUAUAUAUAUAUAUAUAUUGUCCAGAAGAGUGUUUCACUAGCAACAAUGUCACUUGUUUUAAAGAUAAGAAACUCUGAAUACUCUGGUUUGAAUAAUGCAAGUGAAUCCCUUAAACAUGCCAUGCAACUUGUUAUUGGGAUCUGCAUCAAUUGAGAAGCUUCUGUCCAAAAGGGGCAUCAACAUAAUCUUUUAUCUCCCUUGUUGAAGCACUGAAGAUGAGUGAUGCAAGAGUAUUAUUGUCAGCUCUUCACAAUGUCAUUCACAUUUUAUUCAAGGUCAUUGAUCUUGCUCCUAAUUGCUGCCUAGAAUCCACCUGAGUCGCUUGUUGACUGUUUUAACUGGUAAGUUAUUGGUGACAUGGGGUCUAUGCAUUUGACAAUUCUAUGACCUUUAUUAUAUUUACCUUUGAUGACGUGUCAAAUACAUGCCAUGCCAUGUAACCUCACCAAAACUUACCGGUUGGUUGGUUAAACGGGGAAUAGAAUGUCACCAAAACUCUAUGAUUCUUGGAUGGAACAGGUGACACAGCAUCAUGUUCUGUUCUGAACUUGUUAACUAAUAAUUAAAUAUUCUCAUCUUAUUACAUCAUUUUUAACUCCUUAAUUUAUAUUAAUUUCCCAGGUGUCUAUGCUAUUUAUAUUUAAUGACUGGUUUUCCACUUUUCACAGUGGAAUUUGACAGGGUUUCUUUUUGCCAGUUUGAUUCAACCAUUUGUUUCCCAAUUUCACAUUUACUUGAGGUAUUUUUGGUUUUAAUUUAACUGAAUUUUACUAGAGCUGUGAAGUGCCUACGUUUCACCAAACUUACACUUUUAUUGGGCUUGUGACCUAUUUUUUUAUUUAUUAGAUUAGGGAUUCUGUUAUGGAAUACUAUAAUUGUAGGUUGUUUGUGCCUUUUUAAUUUUCAUGAACAUAAACUAAUGUUUUACUCUUUUUACAGGAUGUUGCCACCUGAAACCAUGGUGGGCCAACCUCAUCUGGAAACCAACAUCUCCAAAGAAGCUGUCAUCACAUGUUUUAUUUUUAUUGGAAAGACAGAGAAGAAGUUUUCUUGAAACCGGAUCCUCUCACCCCAAAUAUCAACUUAUACGCCCCAACCCCUCUGAAGCGAACACUUGAAAUAUUCUUUCGUUUGAUCUCAGCAAACCAAAUGUCCAGAAUCUUGAAGCAAAGCAGAGACAUAACGAUUGAUUUUCAUCCACUUUUUUCUUCGAUAUCUCUGCUUUCACCCAAAUCGACGCUUCUCACAGGCGAUGGCCAUAGUGGACGGAGGGUUUGUUUUUUCCAGUCUGAUUCCACUAUCUGUUCCUCAAUUUUACAAGCGUGAGAUCAGGAAGACAGAGAAGAAAUUUUGGUUAUAUUUACUGCUGCUGUUAUUCUUUUUCAGCAAGAUGCCAAGAAGUUGGUUCACGUUAUGAGAUGUUGGCUGAAUUGUCGAGAAGAGAGGGAGAUGCAAACAUAAAACCUGAUCCAGAUAUCGAUGUCUUCAUGAAGGCUGCUGCUACUGAAGGUUAAGAAGGUUGUCAAGUGUGGUCUGUAGCAGGAUUACAGACUUAAUGUAUGUCAAACUAAUGAUGAGGGGUAUCCAUGUCAUUUCAUUGCCACUCUUAUGGAAGGAGUCUUUCUCACUAUUUUGUUGGCCCUCAUGAAUCCAAUUUUGCUCCUGGCAGGGUUUCCGAUGACAGUUAGUUAACUGACUGGUUCUUCCAUGGGUGGUGGUAUGAAGUUUGUGUUAGGUUUUGGUGAAAGAAGGGAACAGGGGAGCUAGGGAGCCCUUGCUGACAUUAGAAAAAGAAAAAGGAAAGUCCCAACUGUAUUUAUACUUUAUACUAAUAAAAUUAGCAUUAACAAGUAUUAAAUAGGUAUGGCCUGUAAUUGUUUUAUAUCCAGGUUGAAGAGUAGUAGCUUUUAUUUCAAUGGGAAUGCUUAAAGUUGUUGGUUGGUUUAAAAGGGAAAAGGUUAGCCAUUUAUUUUAACUUCAAAUACUUUAAAUUUCAUUUAAGUUAAUGAUUUCCAGUGAGCCAUCUGUGACAGAAGAUGAACUCAAGCUGAUGUUGAGAAUGUGUUGGGAGGUAAAAGGAACCCAUGUGUUGGGUUCCAAGUUUCAAUUGAAGUAUGUUUGAAUCUAUGUAUGUGUAGCACAUGUACUAUUGUGAUUUUGUACAUAUUCCCAUGUUGGUUUUCCCUUUUAGAUAUUGUUCAAGAAUCUUGAUUUGGACAUGAAGGACAGGGUUAGGAAAAUUGAAGGAAACCCUGAUUUCUGUUGCUUCAUCUCAACAAAAUACUGUAAAUCAAGGAUGCUUCCAAUGGUAAUGGAUAAGGCAAGGGUAUUAAAGAUAUAUAUAUAUAUAUAUAUAUAUAUAUAUUGUCCAGAAGAGUGUUUCACUAGCAACAAUGUCACUUGUUUUAAAGAUAAGAAACUCUGAAUACUCUGGUUUGAAUAAUGCAAGUGAAUCCCUUAAACAUGCCAUGCAACUUGUUAUUGGGAUCUGCAUCAAUUGAGAAGCUUCUGUCCAAAAGGGGCAUCAACAUAAUCUUUUAUCUCCCUUGUUGAAGCACUGAAGAUGAGUGAUGCAAGAGUAUUAUUGUCAGCUCUUCACAAUGUCAUUCACAUUUUAUUCAAGGUCAUUGAUCUUGCUCCUAAUUGCUGCCUAGAAUCCACCUGAGUCGCUUGUUGACUGUUUUAACUGGUAAGUUAUUGGUGACAUGGGGUCUAUGCAUUUGACAAUUCUAUGACCUUUAUUAUAUUUACCUUUGAUGACGUGUCAAAUACAUGCCAUGCCAUGUAACCUCACCAAAACUUACCGGUUGGUUGGUUAAACGGGGAAUAGAAUGUCACCAAAACUCUAUGAUUCUUGGAUGGAACAGGUGACACAGCAUCAUGUUCUGUUCUGAACUUGUUAACUAAUAAUUAAAUAUUCUCAUCUUAUUACAUCAUUUUUAACUCCUUAAUUUAUAUUAAUUUCCCAGGUGUCUAUGCUAUUUAUAUUUAAUGACUGGUUUUCCACUUUUCACAGUGGAAUUUGACAGGGUUUCUUUUUGCCAGUUUGAUUCAACCAUUUGUUUCCCAAUUUCACAUUUACUUGAGGUAUUUUUGGUUUUAAUUUAACUGAAUUUUACUAGAGCUGUGAAGUGCCUACGUUUCACCAAACUUACACUUUUAUUGGGCUUGUGACCUAUUUUUUUAUUUAUUAGAUUAGGGAUUCUGUUAUGGAAUACUAUAAUUGUAGGUUGUUUGUGCCUUUUUAAUUUUCAUGAACAUAAACUAAUGUUUUACUCUUUUUACAGGAUGUUGCCACCUGAAACCAUGGUGGGCCAACCUCAUCUGGAAACCAACAUCUCCAAAGAAGCUGUCAUCACAUGUUUUAUUUUUAUUGGAAAGACAGAGAAGAAGUUUUCUUGAAACCGGAUCCUCUCACCCCAAAUAUCAACUUAUACGCCCCAACCCCUCUGAAGCGAACACUUGAAAUAUUCUUUCGUUUGAUCUCAGCAAACCAAAUGUCCAGAAUCUUGAAGCAAAGCAGAGACAUAACGAUUGAUUUUCAUCCACUUUUUUCUUCGAUAUCUCUGCUUUCACCCAAAUCGACGCUUCUCACAGGCGAUGGCCAUAGUGGACGGAGGGUUUGUUUUUUCCAGUCUGAUUCCACUAUCUGUUCCUCAAUUUUACAAGCGUGAGAUCAGGAAGACAGAGAAGAAAUUUUGGUUAUAUUUACUGCUGCUGUUAUUCUUUUUCAGCAAGAUGCCAAGAAGUUGGUUCACGUUAUGAGAUGUUGGCUGAAUUGUCGAGAAGAGAGGGAGAUGCAAACAUAAAACCUGAUCCAGAUAUCGAUGUCUUCAUGAAGGCUGCUGCUACUGAAGGUUAAGAAGGUUGUCAAGUGUGGUCUGUAGCAGGAUUACAGACUUAAUGUAUGUCAAACUAAUGAUGAGGGGUAUCCAUGUCAUUUCAUUGCCACUCUUAUGGAAGGAGUCUUUCUCACUAUUUUGUUGGCCCUCAUGAAUCCAAUUUUGCUCCUGGCAGGGUUUCCGAUGACAGUUAGUUAACUGACUGGUUCUUCCAUGGGUGGUGGUAUGAAGGUUUUGGUGAAAGAAGGGAACAGGGGAGCUAGGGAGCCCUUGCUGACAUUAGAAAAAGAAAAAGGAAAGUCCCAACUGUAUUUAUACUUUAUACUAAUAAAAUUAGCAUUAACAAGUAUUAAAUAGGUAUGGCCUGUAAUUGUUUUAUAUCCAGGUUGAAGAGUAGUAGCUUUUAUUUCAAUGGGAAUGCUUAAAGUUGUUGGUUGGUUUAAAAGGGAAAAGGUUAGCCAUUUAUUUUAACUUCAAAUACUUUAAAUUUCAUUUAAGUUAAUGAUUUCCAGUGAGCCAUCUGUGACAGAAGAUGAACUCAAGCUGAUGUUGAGAAUGUGUUGGGAGGUAAAAGGAACCCAUGUGUUGGGUUCCAAGUUUCAAUUGAAGUAUGUUUGAAUCUAUGUAUGUGUAGCACAUGUACUAUUGUGAUUUUGUACAUAUUCCCAUGUUGGUUUUCCCUUUUAGAUAUUGUUCAAGAAUCUUGAUUUGGACAUGAAGGACAGGGUUAGGAAAAUUGAAGGAAACCCUGAUUUCUGUUGCUUCAUCUCAACAAAAUACUGUAAAUCAAGGAUGCUUCCAAUGGUAAUGGAUAAGGCAAGGGUAUUAAAGAUAUAUAUAUAUAUAUAUAUAUAUAUAUAUAUAUAUUGUCCAGAAGAGUGUUUCACUAGCAACAAUGUCACUUGUUUUAAAGAUAAGAAACUCUGAAUACUCUGGUUUGAAUAAUGCAAGUGAAUCCCUUAAACAUGCCAUGCAACUUGUUAUUGGGAUCUGCAUCAAUUGAGAAGCUUCUGUCCAAAAGGGGCAUCAACAUAAUCUUUUAUCUCCCUUGUUGAAGCACUGAAGAUGAGUGAUGCAAGAGUAUUAUUGUCAGCUCUUCACAAUGUCAUUCACAUUUUAUUCAAGGUCAUUGAUCUUGCUCCUAAUUGCUGCCUAGAAUCCACCUGAGUCGCUUGUUGACUGUUUUAACUGGUAAGUUAUUGGUGACAUGGGGUCUAUGCAUUUGACAAUUCUAUGACCUUUAUUAUAUUUACCUUUGAUGACGUGUCAAAUACAUGCCAUGCCAUGUAACCUCACCAAAACUUACCGGUUGGUUGGUUAAACGGGGAAUAGAAUGUCACCAAAACUCUAUGAUUCUUGGAUGGAACAGGUGACACAGCAUCAUGUUCUGUUCUGAACUUGUUAACUAAUAAUUAAAUAUUCUCAUCUUAUUACAUCAUUUUUAACUCCUUAAUUUAUAUUAAUUUCCCAGGUGUCUAUGCUAUUUAUAUUUAAUGACUGGUUUUCCACUUUUCACAGUGGAAUUUGACAGGGUUUCUUUUUGCCAGUUUGAUUCAACCAUUUGUUUCCCAAUUUCACAUUUACUUGAGGUAUUUUUGGUUUUAAUUUAACUGAAUUUUACUAGAGCUGUGAAGUGCCUACGUUUCACCAAACUUACACUUUUAUUGGGCUUGUGACCUAUUUUUUUAUUUAUUAGAUUAGGGAUUCUGUUAUGGAAUACUAUAAUUGUAGGUUGUUUGUGCCUUUUUAAUUUUCAUGAACAUAAACUAAUGUUUUACUCUUUUUACAGGAUGUUGCCACCUGAAACCAUGGUGGGCCAACCUCAUCUGGAAACCAACAUCUCCAAAGAAGCUGUCAUCACAUGUUUUAUUUUUAUUGGAAAGACAGAGAAGAAGUUUUCUUGAAACCGGAUCCUCUCACCCCAAAUAUCAACUUAUACGCCCCAACCCCUCUGAAGCGAACACUUGAAAUAUUCUUUCGUUUGAUCUCAGCAAACCAAAUGUCCAGAAUCUUGAAGCAAAGCAGAGACAUAACGAUUGAUUUUCAUCCACUUUUUUCUUCGAUAUCUCUGCUUUCACCCAAAUCGACGCUUCUCACAGGCGAUGGCCAUAGUGGACAGAGGGUUUGUUUUUUCCAGUCUGAUUCCACUAUCUGUUCCUCAAUUUUACAAGCGUGAGAUCAGGAAGACAGAGAAGAAAUUUUGGUUAUAUUUACUGCUGCUGUUAUUCUUUUUCAGCAAGAUGCCAAGAAGUUGGUUCACGUUAUGAGAUGUUGGCUGAAUUGUCGAGAAGAGAGGGAGAUGCAAACAUAAAACCUGAUCCAGAUAUCGAUGUCUUCAUGAAGGCUGCUGCUACUGAAGGUUAAGAAGGUAGCGUACUCACAGAUUAUACUCUCAAGCUAUUGGGAUUUGGAACAUCUCAUCUCUUUUGAAGGACAGGGUUAGGAAAAUUAAAGGAAACCCUGAUUUCUGUUGCUUCAUCUCUCAACAAAAUACUAUAAAUCAAGAAAAAACUGUAAAUCAAGGUGAACUACCACAUAUUAUAUACCAGGUUUGUUGUCUAUAUAUGUUUUUGUUUUUAGAGUAUUCACUAUCUGAUUUGCUGAUGCUUUUUAGAUAUUGUUCAAGAAUCUUGAUUUGGACAUGAAGGCAGUUACUCCAUUUCCCUGCUGUUCCUUUGGUUGAAGAUAUGAAUAUGUUUUUUAUUUUUCUCUUUUGAUUGCAACUGCCAACUAGAUAAUUAAAAACUGUUUGCUGAAAAACUUAUUGAUCCUUUACUUUUGCAGGGUGCUUCCAAUGGUAAUGGAUAAGGCAAGGGUAUUAAAGAUAUAUAGUUUCUACUAUAAAUAUUGUCCAGAAGAGUGUUUCAAGCAACAAUGGCACUUGUUUUAAAGAUAAUUAAGAAACUCUGAAUACCAUGGUUUGAAUAAUGCAAGUGAAUCCCUUAAACAUGCCAUGCAACGUGCUAUUGGGAUGUGCAUCAAUGGAGAAGAUUCUGUCCAAAAGGGGCAACAAUUUAAUCUUUUAUCUCUCUUGUUGAAGCACUGAAGAUGAGUGAUACAAGAGUAUUGUUGUCUGCUCUUCACAAUGUCAUUUAGAUUUUAUCCAAUUGCUAGAAUCCACCUGAGUCGCUUGUUGACCGGUUUAACUGGUAAGUUAUUGGCGACAAGGUGUCUAGUUGGUAUGCAUUUGAUGACGUGUCAAUUACAUGCCAUGUCACCUCACCAAAACUUACCGGUGGUUAAAUUGGGAAUAGAACAUUUUUUCAGUGGAACCAAAACUCUAUGAUUCUUGGAUGGAACAGGUGACACAGCAUCCUGUUCUGCUCUGUUCUAAACCUGUUUCCUAAUAAUUAAUUAUUCUCAUCUUAUUACAUCAUUUUUAACUCCUUAAUUUAUCAAUCUAAUCAUUAUUAAUUUCAUUCUUGUAAAACCAGGUGUCUAUGCCAUUUAAUGACUGGUUUUCCACUUUUCACAGCGGAAGUGGACAGAUGGUUUCUCUUUGCCAGUUUUAUUCCACCAUUUGUUUCUCAAUUUCAGAAUCUUGAGGUAUUUUUGAAUCCUUUUGGUUUUAAUCUGUUAACCAAAUUACUAGAGGUGGGAAGUUCCUUUGUUGCAUUAAACUUACACUUUUAUUGGGCUUGUGACCUAUUUUUUUAUUUAUUAGAUUAGGGAUUCUGUUAUGGAAUACUAUAAUUGUAGGUUGUUUCUGCCUUUUCAAUUUUCAUGAACGCAAACUAAUAUUUUACUCUUUUUACAGGAUGUUGCCACCUGAAACCAUUGUGGGCCCCUUUAAACCUAACCUCAUUUGGAAACCAACAUCUCCAAAGGAGCUGUCAUCACAUGUUAUGGGAAAGACAGAAGAAAAUUUCUUUUACCAAAUAAUAUUCAUAUUUAGUCCAAGGUAUGUCAUCUCCUACUGCUGUUAUUCUUUUUCAAUUUCAAAUUUUUCAUUGACAUUAUAAGAUACAAUUGUGUGAUACUCCAGAAAUAGGAAAGUACUUUCAUUUCAUAAUUCAUACUCCAGGUAUGUUCCACCACUAAACCACUCUAUAUUUUGCUGUGUGUCAUAAAUUCAGUCAUGUCCUGCUUCUCUUUGUCUUUUACAAUUAGCAUUGUGCUUUAAUUUUACUUUGAAAAAACUUCCCAUUAACUCAUUGUGCAUUCAAAAACAUCCAUUUUGCAUUGAGUUUUCAUAAAUCCUCCUAUUUUUAGCAUCCUACUUUCACUUUUCUUUAUCUAACAUCAAUGAAACAUCAGACUUCUCUUUUUCUCAUCUAUGCAUUUUACUUUGAAACAACUUCCCUUUAAAGCAUUCUACUUUCAAUAAAAAUCAUCCAUUUUGCAUUGAAUUUUCAAAAAUCAUCCCAUUUUUAUUUAGUGUUCUACUUUUACUUUUCUUUCUAUAACACCACUGAAACAUCAAACUUUACUUUUCUCAUCUAUGCAUUUUACUUUUUAAAAAAUUUCCAAUUAAAGCAUUCUGUUGUCCACCAAAUUCUACUUUCAAAAUCAUCCCUUUUUUUAGCAUUGUACUUUAACUUUUCUUUUUGUAACAUCAUUAAAACAUCAAAUUCUCUUUUCUCAUCUAUGCAUUUUACUUUCAAAAAAUUCCAAAUAAAGCAUUUUACUUUCAAAAAUUUCUAUUUUACAUUGAAUUUAAAAAAAUCAUCACAUUUUUAACAUUGUACUUUACCUUUUUCUUUGUGUAACAUCAUUGAAACAUCACUCUUAUUUUUUUUUUCUCAUCUAUGCAUUUACAUUGAAAAAACUUGCAAUUCAAGCAUUCUUUUUUUAAAAACUUCCAUUUUACAUUGAAUUUUCAAAAACCAUUCUAUUUUUAGCAUUGUAGUUUAACUUUUCUUUCUGUAACAUAAUUAAAACAUCAAACUUCUUUUUUCUCAUCUAUGUGUUUUCCUUUGAAAAAAAUUAGACAUAAAGCAUUCUACUUUCAAAAGCUUCCCAUUUUACAUUCAACUUUCAAAAAUCAUCCCAUUUUAGGAUUGUACUUUAACUUUCUUUUCUAUAACAUCAUUGAAACAUCAAACCUUUUUUUUUCUCAUCUAUGUAUUUUACUUUGAAAAAUCUUACAGUUAAAACAUUCUACUUUCAAAAACUUUCCAUUUUACAUUGAGUUUUUUAAAAUAAUCACAUUUUUAGCAUUGUACUUUUUCUUAAUGUAACAUCAUCGAAACAUCAAACUUCUCAUUUCUCAUCUAUGCAUUUUACUUUGAAAAAAGUUUCAAUCAAAAUUUUCAAAAUUUUCCAUUUUACAUUCAAUUUUCUAAAAUCACCCAUUUUUAGCAUUGUACUUUAGCUUUUUCUCAUCUAUGCAUAUACGUUGAAAAAAACUUAUAAUUAAAGCAUUGUACUUUCAAAAAUUUCCAUUUCACAUUCAUUUUUCAUGAAUCAUCCAAUUUUUAUCAUUUUACUUUAACUUUUCCUUAUGUAACAUCUUUGAAACAACAAACUUCUCAUUUCUCAUCUAUGCAUUUUAAUUUGGAAAAACUUACAAUCAAAGUAUUUUAUUUUCAAAAACAUUCAUUUGACACCCGAUUUUCAAAAAUAUCUCGUUUUAAGCAUUGUACCUAAACUUUUUCUCAUGUAUGCAUUUUACUUUGAAAAAACAUUACAAUUAAAGCAAUCUACUAUAAAAAACUUUCAUUUAACAUUCAAUUCUCAAAAAUUAUCCAUUUUUAUCAUUAUAUUUUAACUCUUUCUUUAUGUAACAUCUUUGAAACAUGAAAUUUCUCAUUUCUCAUCUAUGCAAAGCAGAGAAAUGAGAAAUUUCAUCCCCUUUUUGAGAAUUGAACGUCCAGAAUCUUGAAGCAAAGCAGAGAAAUAACGAGUGAUUUUCAUCCCUUUUUUUCUUCGACAUGUCUGCUUUCACCCAAAUCGACGCCUCUCACAGGCGAUGGUCAUAGUAGACGUAGGGUUAGUCUGAGUCCACUAUUUGUUUCCCAGUUUCACAAUCUUGAUGUAUUUUUGAACCUUGUUGGUUUUAUUUUGUUAUGUGGGAAUGCAACAGGUUCUUCUAAGUUCCGAGCUCAUACAGAUAGGUUCUGAAGAGCGUUUAUUGCUAAUUACAGAGGUAUAUUUUGUUUUUUUUCAUCUUCUUGACUUAGGUGGGAUAUAUGAUAUCAACCACCUAAUCCUUGGACUAUGGGGAUUCUUGGAUUAGUUGCUGAAAUUCAUGCAAUGCCAAAUCUCAGUUCUUAUGUUUUCAAUUGAAGUAUGUUUGAAUCUAUGUAUGUGUAGCACAUGUACUAUUGUGAUUUUGUACAUAUUCCCAUGUUGGUUUUCCCUUUUAGAUAUUGUUCAAGAAUCUUGAUUUGGACAUGAAGGACAGGGUUAGGAAAAUUGAAGGAAACCCUGAUUUCUGUUGCUUCAUCUCAACAAAAUACUGUAAAUCAAGGAUGCUUCCAAUGGUAAUGGAUAAGGCAAGGGUAUUAAAGAUAUAUAUAUAUAUAUAUAUAUAUAUAUAUAUAUAUAUAUAUAUAUAUAUUGUCCAGAAGAGUGUUUCACUAGCAACAAUGUCACUUGUUUUAAAGAUAAGAAACUCUGAAUACUCUGGUUUGAAUAAUGCAAGUGAAUCCCUUAAACAUGCCAUGCAACUUGUUAUUGGGAUCUGCAUCAAUUGAGAAGCUUCUGUCCAAAAGGGGCAUCAACAUAAUCUUUUAUCUCCCUUGUUGAAGCACUGAAGAUGAGUGAUGCAAGAGUAUUAUUGUCAGCUCUUCACAAUGUCAUUCACAUUUUAUUCAAGGUCAUUGAUCUUGCUCCUAAUUGCUGCCUAGAAUCCACCUGAGUCGCUUGUUGACUGUUUUAACUGGUAAGUUAUUGGUGACAUGGGGUCUAUGCAUUUGACAAUUCUAUGACCUUUAUUAUAUUUACCUUUGAUGACGUGUCAAAUACAUGCCAUGCCAUGUAACCUCACCAAAACUUACCGGUUGGUUGGUUAAACGGGGAAUAGAAUGUCACCAAAACUCUAUGAUUCUUGGAUGGAACAGGUGACACAGCAUCAUGUUCUGUUCUGAACUUGUUAACUAAUAAUUAAAUAUUCUCAUCUUAUUACAUCAUUUUUAACUCCUUAAUUUAUAUUAAUUUCCCAGGUGUCUAUGCUAUUUAUAUUUAAUGACUGGUUUUCCACUUUUCACAGUGGAAUUUGACAGGGUUUCUUUUUGCCAGUUUGAUUCAACCAUUUGUUUCCCAAUUUCACAUUUACUUGAGGUAUUUUUGGUUUUAAUUUAACUGAAUUUUACUAGAGCUGUGAAGUGCCUACGUUUCACCAAACUUACACUUUUAUUGGGCUUGUGACCUAUUUUUUUAUUUAUUAGAUUAGGGAUUCUGUUAUGGAAUACUAUAAUUGUAGGUUGUUUGUGCCUUUUUAAUUUUCAUGAACACAAACUAAUGUUUUAC